AAUAUCAUGGCGAAACAUAGAUUCGGAUACACAACAACAAUCUGGACUAGCAAGCAGGAAAAAAAUGCUAGCUCUUACAAUGAAACACAGACUCAUACAUGCAAGAGCGAACAAAGAACAAUGGCAGUUAGCUGGAGAUGUGAAAGACCGUAAAAGGUUAAUGAUGUUGGUGUUGAAAGUCAGGGGAGUCUAAGAGGAGUCUAAGAGUUUGGGGUUAGGCUGUAGUAAUGAGGUGCGCGAUAGGUGGAAACCAGAAGAUGAUGAUCGGAUUCAAAAUGGCUCCCUCUCCAAAGAACCUGCAUGCGCAGAUCAAGAAGGAGAAAAAGCCCCCGACUUAGGAUUUUUCUCUGCUUUUGUUUUGUCUUUUUUCCCUUUUUUGUGAUUACCAAAACCAAUUCUCCCAGCAUUUCCUCUUUGAUGAUCACCUGCAUGUACAGGGACUCUUCCCAGCAACAGCAGCAGGAACAAAGACCCCGAUACGAUGCAUAUAAUACACAUUGCUGCAGGGAAUCUGUUGUACUCGACAGGGUUCUAAAAGUGUGGUUGACCGUAUUCUCCAUUUUUCGUUUUCGUUUUUAUUUUUCUUUUUCCUUUUUUUUUUACUUACAUUAAGGCUGUGUUCUUUUUAAGGGAUUUAAGGGAGAUGAUUUGGGGGAGAUGAUUUGAGUGGAUUUGAGGGUAAUUUUUUUGUUGUUUUUUUGAGUGGAUUUGAGGUUAAUUGAGAGUGGAUUUGGAAGGAAAGUUUGUGAGAAUUAGUGUAGGAUUUGAUUGAUGUGAUUGAUUUUAAAAAUUAGUUUAAUUGGUAGAAAAUAUAGAUUACCAAAUUGCCCUUCUUAUAAAAGUAUUAUAAAAUGUUAUUUUGUAAUGUUAUA